UUGGCAUCAACUCAGUUUGGAAGCUUUCAAAACCCACCUCCUCAAGGAAAUGAAAACCCUAUCCCACCACCAAGGGCUUUACAAAAUUCACUUUAUGAUCCAAUGUAUGAGCAAUUGGGAUUUCCAGUGGAUUUGACUUUAAGGAUGUAUCUAGCAUCCAAGCGUAAUAGAGGAGGUGACUCUUAGCAUUUGGAUUGAACAAGUGAAAUGACUUCACAUGAGAGCUACGUUUAUCAAUAUGAAACAGCCUUAUUUUAUGGUUUUUUGUAUUAUAUUCAAUAUGGAUUGUUCGAGAUAAGAUA